rnacentral:rRNA from 1 species
UACGUAGGGGGCUAGCGUUGUCCGGAAUCAUUGGGCGUAAAGCGCGCGUAGGCGGCCCGGUAAGUCCGCUGUAAAAGUCCAGGGCUCAACCCUGGAACGCCGGUGGAUACUGUCGGGCUAGAGUCCGGAAGAGGCGAGUGGAAUUCCUGGUGUAGCGGUGGAAUGCGCAGAUAUCAGGAGGAACACCGAUGGCGAAGGCAGCUCGCUGGGACGGAUACUGACGCUGAGACGCGAAAGCGUGGGGAGCGAACAGG